GUAAAAUAUAAGAAGACUUAAAAAGGCAAAAAUGGUGAAGAGUUUAAUUGUAGUUCGUUUCUGCUUUUUCCUGAUGAUAUUCUUGUUGAUUUCUGAAGGAUCUACCAGAGAAUCGUGGUGCCAUGUACAUAAAAGUAGUGCACCGCCAGGGACCUGUAAUAAGAAAAAUGGUCUUGAUUUAUGCAAAAGGAUUUGUUAUACAAAACAUGACCUUCCCGGGGGACAUUGUAAUAGGAAGGGAAAAGAACUUGUUUGCGAAUGCACCUACGUUCUAUAUUGCACACCACCGGCGCCACCGAAGUAACCACUAACCACCGAAUUAACCAUUCGUUUAAAAGUAUUAUUCAUUUAUUUACCUUUCUUUAAUUUUUAAGAUAAUACAAGUAUAACAACAAUAUAUAUGUUGUAAGCUUUUUUAUAUUUGCCAUGCUUUUGUAUAAUUCUAAAAUUGGGAAGGCCUAUUAAUAAAGUUGUUUUCUUUCUA